rnacentral:rRNA from 1 species
AAAAGUGAAAGACGGUCUUGCUGUCACUUAUAGAUGGAUCCGCGCUGCAUUAGCUAGUUGGUAAGGUAACGGCUUACCAAGGCAACGAUGCAUAGCCGACCUGAGAGGGUGAUCGGCCACACUGGAACUGAGACACGGUCCAGACUCCUACGGGAGGCAGCAGUAGGGAAUCUUCCGCAAUGGGCGAAAGCCUGACGGAGCAACGCCGCGUGAGUGAUGAAGGUCUUCGGAUCGUAAAACUCUGUUAUUAGGGAAGAACAUAUGUGUAAGUAACUGUGCACAUCUUGACGGUACCUAAUCAGAAAGCCACGGCUAACUACGUGCCAGCAGCCGCGGUAAUACGUAGGUGGCAAGCGUUAUCCGGAAUUAUUGGGCGUAAAGCGCGCGUAGGCGGUUUUUUAAGUCUGAUGUGAAAGCCCACGGCUCAACCGUGGAGGGUCAUUGGAAACUGGAAAACUUGAGUGCAGAAGAGGAAAGUGGAAUUCCAUGUGUAGCGGUGAAAUGCGCAGAGAUAUGGAGGAACACCAGUGGCGAAGGCGACUUUCUGGUCUGUAACUGACGCUGAUGUGCGAAAGCGUGGGGAUCAAACAGGAUUAGAUACCCUGGUAGUCCACGCCGUAAACGAUGAGUGCUAAGUGUUAGGGGGUUUCCGCCCCUUAGUGCUGCAGCUAACGCAUUAAGCACUCCGCCUGGGGAGUACGACCGCAAGGUUGAAACUCAAAGGAAUUGACGGGGACCCGCACAAGCGGUGGAGCAUGUGGUUUAAUUCGAAGCAACGCGAAGAACCUUACCAAAUCUUGACAUCCUUUGACAACUCUAGAGAUAGAGCCUUCCCCUUCGGGGGACAAAGUGACAGGUGGUGCAUGGUUGUCGUCAGCUCGUGUCGUGAGAUGUUGGGUUAAGUCCCGCAACGAGCGCAACCCUUAAGCUUAGUUGCCAUCAUUAAGUUGGGCACUCUAAGUUGACUGCCGGUGACAAACCGGAGGAAGGUGGGGAUGACGUCAAAUCAUCAUGCCCCUUAUGAUUUGGGCUACACACGUGCUACAAUGGACAAUACAAAGGGCAGCGAAACCGCGAGGUCAAGCAAAUCCCAUAAAGUUGUUCUCAGUUCGGAUUGUAGUCUGCAACUCGACUACAUGAAGCUGGAAUCGCUAGUAAUCGUAGAUCAGCAUGCUACGGUGAAUACGUUCCCGGGUCUUGUACACACCGCCCGUCACACCACGAGAGUUUGUAACACCCGAAGCCGGUGGAGUAACCUUUUAGGAGCUAGCCGUCGAAGGUGGGACAAAUGAUUGGGGUGAAGUCGUAACAAGGUAGCCGUAUCGGAAGGUGCGGCUGGAUCACCUCCUUU